rnacentral:piRNA from 1 species
UAUGUCACACGUGAUACGUACUAUA